rnacentral:rRNA from 1 species
GACGAACGCUGGCGGCGUGCUUAACACAUGCAAGUCGAACGGAAAGGCCCUGCUUUUGUGGGGUGCUCGAGUGGCGAACGGGUGAGUAACACGUGAGUAACCUGCCCUUGACUUUGGGAUAACUUCAGGAAACUGGGGCUAAUACCGGAUAGGAGCUCCUGCUGCAUGGUGGGGGUUGGAAAGUUUCGGCGGUUGGGGAUGGACUCGCGGCUUAUCAGCUUGUUGGUGGGGUAGUGGCUUACCAAGGCUUUGACGGGUAGCCGGCCCGAGAGGGUGACCGGCCACGUUGGGACUGAGAUACGGCCCAGACUCCUACGGUAGGCAGCAGUGGGGAAUAUUGCACAGUGGGCGGAAGCCUAAUGCAGCAACGCCGCGUGCGGGAUGUCGGCCUUCGGGUUGUGAACCGCUUUCGCCUGUGACGAAGCGUUAGUGACGGUAAUGGGUAAAGAAGCACCGGCUAACUACGUG